rnacentral:rRNA from 1 species
AUGAACGCUGGCGGCGUGCCUAAUACCUGCAAGUCGAGCGAACAGACGAGGAGCUUGCUCCUCUGACGUUAGCGGCGGACGGGUGAGUAACACGUGGAUAACCUACCUAUAAGACUGGGAUAACUUCGGGAAACCGGAGCUAAUACCGGAUAAUAUAUUGAACCGCAUGGUUCAAUAGUGAAAGACGGUUUUGCUGUCACUUAUAGAUGGAUCCGCGCCGCAUUAGCUAGUUGGUAAGGUAACAGCUUACCAAGGCAACGAUGCGUAGCCGACCUGAGAGGGUGAUCGGCCACACUGGAACUGAGACACGGUCCAGACUCCUACGGGAGGCAGCAGUAGGGAAUCUUCCGCAAUGGGCGAAAGCCUGACGGAGCAACGCCGCGUGAGUGAUGAAGGUCUUCGGAUCGUAAAACUCUGUUAUUAGGGAAGAACAAAUGUGUAAGUAACUAUGCACGUCUUGACGGUACCUAAUCAGAAAGCCACGGCUAACUACGUG